rnacentral:rRNA from 1 species
AAAUUGAAGAGUUUGAUCAUGGCUCAGAUUGAACGCUGGCGGCAGGCCUAACACAUGCAAGUCGAACGGUAACAGGAAGAAGCUUGCUUCUUUGCUGACGAGUGGCGGACGGGUGAGUAAUGUCUGGGAAACUGCCUGAUGGAGGGGGAUAACUACUGGAAACGGUAGCUAAUACCGCAUAACGUCGCAAGACCAAAGAGGGGGACCUUCGGGCCUCUUGCCAUCGGAUGUGCCCAGAUGGGAUUAGCUAGUAGGUGGGGUAACGGCUCACCUAGGCGACGAUCCCUAGCUGGUCUGAGAGGAUGACCAGCCACACUGGAACUGAGACACGGUCCAGACUCCUACGGGAGGCAGCAGUGGGGAAUAUUGCACAAUGGGCGCAAGCCUGAUGCAGCCAUGCCGCGUGUAUGAAGAAGGCCUUCGGGUUGUAAAGUACUUUCAGCGGGGAGGAAGGGAGUAAAGUUAAUACCUUUGCUCAUUGACGUUACCCGCAGAAGAAGCACCGGCUAACUCCGUGCCAGCAGCCGCGGUAAUACGGAGGGUGCAAGCGUUAAUCGGAAUUACUGGGCGUAAAGCGCACGCAGGCGGUUUGUUAAGUCAGAUGUGAAAUCCCCGGGCUCAACCUGGGAACUGCAUCUGAUACUGGCAAGCUUGAGUCUCGUAGAGGGGGGUAGAAUUCCAGGUGUAGCGGUGAAAUGCGUAGAGAUCUGGAGGAAUACCGGUGGCGAAGGCGGCCCCCUGGACGAAGACUGACGCUCAGGUGCGAAAGCGUGGGGAGCAAACAGGAUUAGAUACCCUGGUAGUCCACGCCGUAAACGAUGUCGACUUGGAGGUUGUGCCCUUGAGGCGUGGCUUCCGGAGCUAACGCGUUAAGUCGACCGCCUGGGGAGUACGGCCGCAAGGUUAAAACUCAAAUGAAUUGACGGGGGCCCGCACAAGCGGUGGAGCAUGUGGUUUAAUUCGAUGCAACGCGAAGAACCUUACCUGGUCUUGACAUCCACGGAAGUUUUCAGAGAUGAGAAUGUGCCUUCGGGAACCGUGAGACAGGUGCUGCAUGGCUGUCGUCAGCUCGUGUUGUGAAAUGUUGGGUUAAGUCCCGCAACGAGCGCAACCCUUAUCCUUUGUUGCCAGCGGUCCGGCCGGGAACUCAAAGGAGACUGCCAGUGAUAAACUGGAGGAAGGUGGGGAUGACGUCAAGUCAUCAUGGCCCUUACGACCAGGGCUACACACGUGCUACAAUGGCGCAUACAAAGAGAAGCGACCUCGCGAGAGCAAGCGGACCUCAUAAAGUGCGUCGUAGUCCGGAUUGGAGUCUGCAACUCGACUCCAUGAAGUCGGAAUCGCUAGUAAUCGUGGAUCAGAAUGCCACGGUGAAUACGUUCCCGGGCCUUGUACACACCGCCCGUCACACCAUGGGAGUGGGUUGCAAAAGAAGUAGGUAGCUUAACUUUCGGGAGGGCGCUUACCACUUUGUGAUUCAUGACUGGGGUGAAGUCGUAACAAGGUAACCGUAGGGGAACCUGCGGUUGGAUCACCUCCUUA